GAUGAACGCUGGCGGCGUGCCUAACACAUGCAAGUCGAACGAAGCACUUUAGCUUGAUUCUUCGGAUGAAGGCUAUUGUGACUGAGUGGCGGACGGGUGAGUAACGCGUGGGUAACCUGCCUCAUACAGGGGGAUAACAGUUAGAAAUGACUGCUAAUACCGCAUAAGACCACGGAGUCGCAUGGCUCAGUGGGAAAAACUCCGGUGGUAUGAGAUGGGCCCGCGUCUGAUUAGGUAGUUGGUGGGGUAACGGCCUACCAAGCCGACGAUCAGUAGCCGACCUGAGAGGGUGACCGGCCACAUUGGGACUGAGACACGGCCCAAACUCCUACGGGAGGCAGCAGUGGGGAAUAUUGCACAAUGGGGGAAACCCUGAUGCAGCGACGCCGCGUGAGCGAAGAAGUAUUUCGGUAUGUAAAGCUCUAUCAGCAGGGAAGAAAAUGACGGUACCUGACUAAGAAGCACCGGCUAAAUACGUGCCAGCAGCCGCAGUAA
rnacentral:rRNA from 1 species